rnacentral:lncRNA from 1 species
CCCUCCUUGGUGUCCCUUGGGUGCUUCCUUGGUGUCCUUUGGGUGGCCCGGUGUCCCCUUGGGUGUCCCCAGCUCCCUUGGGUGCUCCUGUGUCCCCCUUGGGUGGCCCCAGGUCCUUUGGGUGUCCCCUCGGUGUCCCCUGGGUCCCUCCUUGAUGUCCUUGGUGUCCCCUUGGGCGGUUCCUCGGUGUCCCCAGGCACCCUUGGGUGUCCCCAGGCACCCUUGUGUCCCUCCUCGCUGUCCCUUGGGUGUCCCCAGGUCCCCUCGGUGUCCCCUCAGCACCCAUGGGUGCCCCCUCCCACCCUCCCCUGUCCCUGGGGUCCCCAUGGGGUUCUUUUUGGGGUCCCCAACGUUCUCCAAGGGUUCUCUGUAGGGUCCCCAAUGUUCCCCAUGGGGUCCCCGAUGUCCCCAUGGGUUCUCCAAGGGGACCCCAACCUUCUUUAGGGUCCCUGAUGUUCCCCAUGGGGUCCCCAAUGUCCCCAUGGGUUCUCCAAGGGGACCCCAAUGUUCUCCAUGGGGUCCCCAAUGUCCCCAUGGGUUCUCCCUGGGGUCCCCGAUGUCCCCAUGGGCUCUCCAAGGGGACCCCAAUGUUCUCCUUGGGGUUCCUGAUGUUCCCCAUGGGGUCCCCAAUGUCCCCUAUGGGUUCUCUAAGGGGACCCCAACCCUCUUUAGGGUCCCUGAUGUUCCCCAUGGGGUCCCCAACGUUCUUGAUGUUCCUCUUGGGGUUCCUGAUGUCCCCCAUGGGGUCCCCGAUGUCCCCAUGGGUUCUCCAAGGAGACCCCAAUGUUCUCCAUGAGGUUCUUGAGGUUCUCCAUGGGGUCCCCAACGUUCUCUGUAGGGUUCCUGAUGUUCCUCUUGGGGUUCCUGAUGUCCCCAUGGGCUCCUCAUGGGGUCCCCAACGUUCUCGGGGUCCCCGACGUUCUCCCCGGGUUCCCCGGUGUCCCCCUGACGCUGUCCCCAUCUUGUCCCCAGUGCCACCACCAUGCCGCACCAGUACCCGGCGCUCACCCCCGAGCAGAAGCAGGAGCUCGCCGACAUCGCCCGGCGCAUCGUGGCCCCCGGCAAGGGCAUCCUAGCUGCCGAUGAGUCCACUGGUGGGCACUGGGAUGAACUGGGAGGGGACUGGGGGGGGCUGGGAGGGGGCUGGGAGGGACUGGUUUGGGGCUGGGAGGGACUGGUGGGCACUGGGAGGGGGUUGAGGGGCACUGGGAGGGCACUGGGAGCUGCUGGGGUGGGGUUGAGGGCCAUUGGGAGGCAACUGGGGCAGACUGGGAGGCAACUGGGGCAGACUGGAAGCAACUGGGACAGACAGGAAACAACUGGGAGGUGCCGCCCUGCCCAGUAUUGAGGAAGUACUGGGGAGUGAGUCAGCUCUGACGGGACUGGGAGGAACUGGGAGGGGCCGAGGGGCCACUGGGAGAUACGGAGGGGCACUGGGAGGGCACUGGACCUUACUGGGAGAUGCUGGAGCGGCACCAGGAGUGCACUGGGAGCUACUGGGAGGAACUGGGAUGGCAGCAGGGAGGAUGGGGAAACAGCUGAGCACCUCGAGGUGGCACCAGUGGGGCUUUGAGAGCUUCUGGGGUGGUACUGGGAGAUACUGGGAGGCACUGGGGCACCGCCAAUAGUCCAGAGGGACAUACUGGGACAUACUGGGUCAUACUGGUAUGGCUUCAAGGAAGAUGGGGAAGUGUCUGAGAACCUCGAGGUGGCACCAGGAGGUCCACGAGAGCUCCUGGGAAGGCACUGGGAGCUACUGGGAGGCACUGGGGCACCACCAAUAGACCAGAGGGACAUACUGGGACACACUGGGUCAUACUGGGACAUACUGGUAUGGCUUCAAGGAGGAUGGGGAAGUGUCUGAGAACCUCGAGGUGGCACCAGGAGGUCCACGAGAGCUCCUGGGAAGGCACUGGGAGC